rnacentral:rRNA from 1 species
AUUGAACGCUGGCGGCAUGCCUUACACAUGCAAGUCGAACGGCAGCACGGGAGCAAUCCUGGUGGCGAGUGGCGAACGGGUGAGUAAAGUAUCGGAACGUGCCCAGUCGUGGGGGAUAACGUAGCGAAAGUUACGCUAAUACCGCAUACGAUCUAUGGAUGAAAGCGGGGGAUCGCAAGACCUCGCGCGAUUGGAGCGGCCGAUAUCAGAUUAGGUAGUUGGUGGGGUAAAGGCCCACCAAGCCGACGAUCUGUAGCUGGUCUGAGAGGACGACCAGCCACACUGGGACUGAGACACGGCCCAGCCUCCUACGGGAGGCAGCAGUGGGGAAUUUUGGACAAUGGGCGAAAGCCUGAUCCAUCCAUGCCGCGUGCAGGAUGAAGGCCUUCGGGUCGUAAACUGCUUUUGUACGGAACGAAAAGGACUGCCCUAAUACGGUGGUCCCAUGACGGUACCGUAAGAAUAAGCACCGGCUAACUACGUGCCAGCAGCCGCCGCAG